UUUUAUGGAGAGUUUGAUCCUGGCUCAGGAUGAACGCUGGCGGCGUGCCUAAUACAUGCAAGUCGAGCGAACGGACGAGAAGCUUGCUUCUCUGAUGUUAGCGGCGGACGGGUGAGUAACACGUGGAUAACCUACCUAUAAGACUGGGAUAACUUCGGGAAACCGGAGCUAAUACCGGAUAAUAUUUUGAACCGCAUGGUUCAAAAGUGAAAGACGGUCUUGCUGUCACUUAUAGAUGGAUCCGCGCUGCAUUAGCUAGUUGGUAAGGUAACGGCUUACCAAGGCAACGAUGUAUAGCCGACCUGAGAGGGUGAUCGGCCACACUGGAAC
rnacentral:rRNA from 1 species